UACGUAGGGGGCAAGCGUUGUCCGGAUUUAUUGGGCGUAAAGAGCGUGUAGGCGGCCACACAGGUCAGCUGUGAAAACUCGAGGCUCAACCUCGAGACGUCGGUUGAAACCGUUUGGCUAGAGUCCGGAAGAGGAGAGUGGAAUUCCCGGUGUAGCGGUGAAAUGCGCAGAUAUCGGGAAGAACACCCGUGGCGAAGGCGGCUCUCUGGGACGGUACUGACGCUGAGACGCGAAAGCGUGGGGAGCGAACAGG
rnacentral:rRNA from 1 species